CUGGCAGACGCCCAGUCGUGCAUGUUCGCGUCUAUCGUCUGCUUGCUUUUGGUCGUGUAUUGUGUUCGCUCCGACCGUCAUUUCCGUCCUCACUCACGCAAGCGAAUAGUUUCAAUGGCUUCGAAUGCUACCGAUUUAAUUUAGAUUUAACUUAGAUACAGGUCCAGCUGAUCACAGAAGAAUAGAAAGAACAAGGACAUUGCAGGAAAUCCUUCGUGUGGAACUCUGCAUUCCUUGAUCCGAUUUCCUGUCGGUGAACGGAAAUCAGCAUGGAUUGCCUGUGCACAACGCCCUCAGCUAAAUGACCUGGCAGACUGUUGUUCGGCGACCACUUCACACUGGAUUGCCUCUCGUGCCAGAGUUGGGUUGAAAAGAACAGCUCGACGUGUGUGCGUGUCUUAUUUGCAACGAAACAGCUCAGUGUUCCCGUGACCAUCGCCGGAAAUUUCACCUCUACCUAUUGGAUAUGUUGACUCAUUUGCUUAAACUGCUCUUUAUUGUUCAGACGCGUAACGCUCCGGCGAAGCCUAUGGCAAGACAUGUGCAUGUAGUGUUAAUUUUUUUAUAAAAUUUAAGAAAGAAAAUAAAUUCGAGUCAUAAACCUUCA